rnacentral:tRNA from 1 species
ACUAUUUUGACAGAAAAUUGUAGUAAAUUUAGAAUUUACUUAUGUAUGAUUAAUUUAUACAAAUAGUA